CCUUAAUGGGAAUGAGUCUCGAGACUUGC
rnacentral:piRNA from 1 species